GUCCUUCCCCCAUCCUCGGUCGCCAGCGCUUCUCCGGCAGCCUCGUCCUGAAAUCGUGCGAUUGUGAGCUAGAAGCCUUCUGGGUCACUCAUAAACCAAAGAGAAAAUAAGGUGCACUCGAGUUUCCCGUCUAAAUAUUUUCCCUGGAGAUGGAAAGGUGCGCUGGCGGCCGGGGAGCCGCGACCUGGGGCGCGCUGGGCCUCGCAGAGCAGCCGCGGACCCCGGCGAUCGUGCCGUGUUCGUCUCCUUUGUGUUUCUUUAUUGAGUCCCUACUACCUCUACGGAUAUUCUGGGGGCAAUUAAAGAAAAUCACCGCUUCAUAGGCAGCACAUAUUUCCCAUAGAAAUGUGGAAUGUAAGAAAGGCACAUAAAGCAAUCCAAGUUGCCUGCAGAUAUCCACAGCCUACUUCAGUCUCAGUAAUGCUCUUUUAACCUGGGGACCAAAUCUAUUCACUUUGACAUGUGUAAACCUCAUGGAAGAUCCUACAGAGGCAUUAGGGGGACUGAAGAAUGUCAUAAAGCGCAUUCCCAACCAGUGCAAGUGAUUCCUCCAGGUAAUUUACAAAGACUUGCUAUAAAAAGAACAAAACCAAAGGCAUCAUGCCACCUGACUUCAAACUACACUACAGGGCUAUAAUAACUAAAACAGCAUGGGGCCUGUACAAAAACAGACACAUAGACCAAUGGAACAGAAUAGAGAACCCACAAAUAAGGCUGCAAACCUAUAAUCAUCUGAUUUUCAACAAACCUGACAAAAACAAGCAACAGGGAAAGGGUUCCCUAUUCAAAUAAUGGUGUUGGCAUAACUGGCUAGCUAUAUGCAGAAGAUUGAAGCUGGACCACUUCCUUACACCAUAUACAAAAAUUAACUCAAGAUGGAUUAAAGACUUAAAUGAAAAACCCAAAACUAUAAAAACCCGGAGGACAACCUAAGCAAUGCCAACUUGAAUAUAGGGACAGGCAAAGAUUACAUGACAAAGAUGACAAAAGCAAUUGCAACAAAAGAAAAAAUAGACAAAUAGGAUCUAAUUAAAUGAAAGAGCUUUACACAGCAAAAGAAUCUAUCAACAGAGUAAACAGACA
rnacentral:lncRNA from 1 species